UCCCUGGUGGCUCAGAGGUUAAAGUGUCUGCCUCCAAUGCAGGAGACCUGGGUUUGAUCCCUGGGUGGGGAA
rnacentral:tRNA from 1 species